rnacentral:rRNA from 1 species
CGAACGGGUGAGUAAUACGUGAGUAACCUGCCCUUGACUCUGGGAUAAGCCUGGGAAACUGGGUCUAAUACUGGAUACGACAUGUCACCGCAUGGUGGCGUGUGGAAAGGGUUUUACUGGUUUUGGAUGGGCUCACGGCCUAUCAGCUUGUUGGUGGGGUAAUGGCUCACCAAGGCGACGACGGGUAGCCGGCCUGAGAGGGUGACCGGCCACACUGGGACUGAGACACGGCCCAGACUCCUACGGGAGGCAGCAGUGGGGAAUAUUGCACAAUGGGCGAAAGCCUGAUGCAGCGACGCCGCGUGAGGGAUGACGGCCUUCGGGUUGUAAACCUCUUUCAGCACGGAAGAAGCGAAAGUGACGGUACGUGCAGAAGAAGCGCCGGCUAACUACGUGCCAGCAGCCGCGGUAAUACGUAGGGCGCAAGCGUUGUCCGGAAUUAUUGGGCGUAAAGAGCUCGUAGGCGGUUUGUCGCGUCUGCUGUGAAAGCCCGGGGCUUAACCCCGGGUGUGCAGUGGGUACGGGCAGACUUGAGUGCAGUAGGGGAGACUGGAAUUCCUGGUGUAGCGGUGAAAUGCGUAGA